AGUGAACGCUGGCGGCAGGCCUAACACAUGCAAGUCGAACGAGUGGCGGACCGGCGUGGAAUGUCAGGGCAAUUGCCUGAUGGAGGGGGAUAACAACUGGAAACGUCAGCGAAACCUGCAUACCAGCAGAUGUGGCCAGAGGGGAUUAGCUUGUUGGUUGGGGAACGGAUCACCAAGGGGACGAUCCCGAGCUGGUAUGAGAGAACGACCAGCCACACGUGAACUGAGAGACGGUCCAGACUCCUACGGGAGGUAGCAGGGGGGAAUAUUGCACAAUGGGCGGAAGCCUGAUGCAGCCAGGCCGGGUGUAUGAAGAAGGCCUUCGGGUUUUAAAGUACUUUCAGCGGGGAGGCGUUACCCGCAGAAGAAGCACCGGCUAACUCCGUGCCAGCAGCCGCGGUAAUAC
rnacentral:rRNA from 1 species